rnacentral:rRNA from 1 species
GUCGAGCGGACAGAUGGGAGCUUGCUCCCUGAUGUUAGCGGCGGACGGGUGAGUAACACGUGGGUAACCUGCCUGUAAGACUGGGAUAACUCCGGGAAACCGGGGCUAAUACCGGAUGGUUGUUUGAACCGCAUGGUUCAGACAUAAAAGGUGGCUUCGGCUACCACUUACAGAUGGACCCGCGGCGCAUUAGCUAGUUGGUGAGGUAACGGCUCACCAAGGCGACGAUGCGUAGCCGACCUGAGAGGGUGAUCGGCCACACUGGGACUGAGACACGGCCCAGACUCCUACGGGAGGCAGCAGUAGGGAAUCUUCCGCAAUGGACGAAAGUCUGACGGAGCAACGCCGCGUGAGUGAUGAAGGUUUUCGGAUCGUAAAGCUCUGUUGUUAGGGAAGAACAAGUGCCGUUCAAAUAGGGCGGCACCUUGACGGUACCUAACCAGAAAGCCACGGCUAACUACGUGCCAGCAGCCGCGGUAAUACGUAGGUGGCAAGCGUUGUCCGGAAUUAUUGGGCGUAAAGGGCUCGCAGGCGGUUUCUUAAGUCUGAUGUGAAAGCCCCCGGCUCAACCGGGGAGGGUCAUUGGAAACUGGGGAACUUGAGUGCAGAAGAGGAGAGUGGAAUUCCACGUGUAGCGGUGAAAUG